rnacentral:rRNA from 1 species
GGGGAAUAUUGCACAAUGGCGCAAGCCUGAUGCAGCGAUGCCGCGUGAGGGAUGACGGCCUUCGGGUUGUAAACCUCUUUCAGCAGGGAAGAAGCGCAAGUGACGGUACCUGCAGAAGAAGCACCGGCUAACUACGUGCCAGCAGCCGCGGUAAUACGUAGGGUGCGAGCGUUGUCCGGAAUUAUUGGGCGUAAAGAGCUCGUAGGCGGCCUGUCGCGUCGGAUGUGAAAGCCCGGGGCUUAACCCCGGGUCUGCAUUCGAUACGGGCAGGCUAGAGUUCGGCAGGGGAGAUUGGAAUUCCUGGUGUAGCGGUGAAAUGCGCAGAUAUCAGGAGGAACACCGGUGGCGAAGGCGGAUCUCUGGGCCGAUACUGACGCUGAGGAGCGAAAGCGUGGGGAGCGAAC